UAUUUCUCUGAUCUUCUUUUGCAAUCUUAGAUAAAUUAUUAGACUGGAAGCAAGAUCUAAUCAAGGAACGAGACACCAAGGGAUGGACAUCUCUUCACUUUGCUGCUCACAACGGGAACCUUGAAGCAGUUAAGAAGCUAUUAGACAAGGAUAAAUCUGUGGCAUACGCAAACAAUGACGAAGGGAACACGGCUCUGCACAUUGCUACUGCUACGGGAGAUGUACUCGUAAUGAACGAGAUUUUACAAAAGUUCCCAGAUUGUUGGGAGAUGGCAAAUAGUAAAGGGCGAACCAUUCUUCACAUUGCCGCAGAUGCGGAGAGAGAUGUGGCGACCAAUUUUAUCCUUAAAAAGCCAUGGGUAAGCCGUCUUAUUAAUCGGAAAGACAAUGAAGGUAACAUAUAUGCCUCUCCAUGUGCUUGCUUCCAAGGGAAAAGCUGGGCUUCACAUGUACCCUGGAGCUGAUAUGCUUGCUCUCAACAACGAAACCAUGACCCCUCUUAUCAUACUAAAUCGGGAGAUAGCUGGAAAAGGGGGGAGCCUUGAUAAGAUGAGUGUCUACACGCAGACAUGAAGAAAAGAUGACCAUGACGUUGCAGAGUAUAUGGAUGAAAUGGAGCAACGAAUUGAGUCUCUCCUAACCCAACGACUCACUACACAGUUUGAGCAGCUACAAUCUAAAAUGUUCCAGUACAUAGAAUCCAGGGGCUUAGAGGUUAGACAGGUUCCAGAUGCAGUAUGUAAACAUCGAACGGUACGAGAAUCUAUCGAAGAUGACACCUUGCCGAUGGAGAGUAGUCAUUGACCACUGACACGUUCUCCAGGACCUGACAAGCAGGUUAUCGAUCGAGAAAGAGAUGGAUGAUCGAGUGUGUUCUAUGGAAUUUGUAAUCGUUCUUUUAGGGAUCGACUUUGUUUUAUUUUGCAUUCACUCCAUCUGUUUUAGUAUUUUUGUCUAUGUACGUAGUAAAAAGAGAUGGUUGAUUGAUUGCAUUGCAAAUAGGGCUUUGAGAAUUAUGUUUUGUCAAACUUGGUUUUGAAUAUUGAUGAUGGAUCAUUUCAAUUCAAGAAA